UUUUAUCAAUCUAACAAUAUAAGUAUAAAUAUAAAUGUGUAAUAUGAUAAUUUUUUAGUGAGUCAAGGAUUACAAUAUGAAAUCUGUGAUUUCGUGAUGAACAUCAAUAUGUUGCCCUGGAUUUGUGGCCACUAAUAGCUUCCCUGAUAUUCGACCAAAUCUUAUUUAUUUAACCAUUGUUUUUUGUUAAAACUAGGAUGGCUUCUUUGAUUAUCUUUAGAAAUUUAUUGUUCCAGUGAAAAGAAAACAUAGUUAGAAAGAAUUUUCUUUCAAGUCAAGGAAAGAUGAAUCCCACUUGUAGGCUAUAGAUUUCGGUCUAUCUGACUUCAUAAGAGCAGGAAAUUUAGUUUGAAGUACAAUCUAAAUCUACUAAGGGCAAAAAAGUAAAAUCUACAGAGUGAUCCACUACAGUUGGAGGAUAUUGAUAUAACUUAAUCUAUCAUAGGUUGGAGAGAGUUAGAACACCAUUUUUCCUACUAAAGUAGGAUGGCGUUGACACCCUUAGGAAGUUCCAUCUUCUCAUGUUGGAAGAAAAAAUCAGGAAAGAGAGGACAAAGUUAGGGAUAGUAGAACUAUCUAAUAGUAGGUUUUGCACUAAUGUCAAUA